AUACGUAGGUGGCAAGCGUUGUCCGGAUUUACUGGGUGUAAAGGGCGUGUAGGCGGAGAUGCAAGUCAGGAGUGAAAUCUAGGGGCUCAACCCCUAAACUGCUUUUGAAACUGUAUCCCUUGAGUAUCGGAGAGGCAGGCGGAAUUCCUCGUGUAGCGGUGAAACGCGUAGAUAUUAGGAGGAACACCAGUGGCUAAGGCGGCCUGCUCAGCGACAACUGACGCUGAUGCUCGAAAGCGUGGCGAGCAAACAGGAUUAUAUGCCCUGGUAGUCCGCGCUGUAAACGAUGAAUACUAGGUGUCGGGGGACUGACCCCCUCCGUGCCGCAGUUAACACAAUAAGUAUUCCCCCUGGGCAGUACGAUCGCAAGGUUGAAACUCAAAUGAAUUGACGGGG
rnacentral:rRNA from 1 species